UAGUUGUUGCGGCCUCUACAAAAAUUAAGAUGGUUUAGCAAGAGAAAUGUUUCAAUUUUAUGCUUUUUGAAUACUUUUUAUUAGGAGGCCAAUAAUAUGACUGGCAAAGUAAAAUGGUUUAAUGCAGAAAAAGGUUUUGGAUUUAUCGAGCGUGAAGGUGGAGACGACGUAUUCGUACACUUCUCAGCUAUCCAAGGCGAAGGUUUCAAAACACUUGAAGAAGGUCAAGAAGUUACAUUUGACAUCGUUGAUGGAAACCGCGGACCUCAAGCAGCAAACGUAGUUCGUGCUUAAUUAAUAAAUUAAACAUCGUAUUACAUGAAGGCAUUAUUCUACAAGUGGAAUAAUGCCUUUUU
rnacentral:sRNA from 1 species